CGAGCGAGCUUGCCUAGAUGAUUUUAGUGCUUGCACUAAAUGAAACUAGAUACAAGCGAGCGGCGGACGGGUGAGUAACACGUGGGUAACCUGCCCAAGAGACUGGGAUAACACCUGGAAACAGAUGCUAAUACCGGAUAACAACACUAGACGCAUGUCUAGAGUUUGAAAGAUGGUUCUGCUAUCACUCUUGGAUGGACCUGCGGUGCAUUAGCUAGUUGGUAAGGUAACGGCUUACCAAGGCAAUGAUGCAUAGCCGAGUUGAGAGACUGAUCGGCCACAUUGGGACUGAGACACGGCCCAAACUCCUACGGGAGGCAGCAGUAGGGAAUCUUCCACAAUGGACGAAAGUCUGAUGGAGCAACGCCGCGUGAGUGAAGAAGGGUUUCGGCUCGUAAAGCUCUGUUGGUAGUGAAGAAAGAUAGAGGUAGUAACUGGCCUUUAUUUGACGGUAAUUACUUAGAAAGUCACGGCUAACUACGUGCCAGCAGCCGCGGUAAUACGUAGGUGGCAAGCGUUGUCCGGAUUUAUUGGGCGUAAAGCGAGUGCAGGCGGUUCAAUAAGUCUGAUGUGAAAGCCUUCGGCUCAACCGGAGAAUCGCAUCAGAAACUGUUGAACUUGAGUGCAGAAGAGGAGAGUGGAACUCCAUGUGUAGCGGUGGAAUGCGUAGAUAUAUGGAAGAACACCAGUGGCGAAGGCGGCUCUCUGGUCUGCAACU
rnacentral:rRNA from 1 species